rnacentral:rRNA from 1 species
UGAUCGUGUCAGUUAUAUAUGCUCAUCUUAAAGAUUGAUCCAUGCAAGUCUAAGUAUAUUGAAUUUACAUUAUUGAAACGGUAGAUAGCUCAUUAAAACAGUAUCAUAGGAAGCAGAAUCCUGCAUGAAGCUUCGGCUUAAUGUAAUUGGAUAUCGAAUCGAAUUGAUUCGUUAACACAUGUGAGACAUUACCCAAGAUAAGACCGAGGGUCUUUGAGGGCGAGUUUAUUGAAUGAGAUUAUUGACGAGACUCCAUCUCAAACUUUUGAAGUGCUAUAAACGGGCUAAUCGAUCGACUUACGUCUUUCGAUGCUCUGCACCUGUGACUGAUCUAUCAACUUUGUUUGUAGUGCCUUUGACUAAAAAGGUUCUAACGGAUAACGAGAGAUUAGGGUUUGAUUUCGGAGAGGAGGCCUGAGACACUGCCUCCACUUCCAAGGAAGGCAGCAGGAGCGAAAAUUUCUCAAUGACACCUCGUCGAAGAAGUGACAAGAAUUAACAGAACUGGGUCCUUUUUGGAACAGUAUCUGUGAUGAGAACAAUUUAAAACCAUUAACUAGUAGCCAUGAGAGGGCAAGUCUGGUGCCAGCAGCCGCGGUAAUUCCAGCUCUUAGAGUGUAUAUGAAUGUUGUUGUAGUUAAAAAGCACAUAGCUGAUAAUGAUUUAUCAGCCACUUAUCGGUCACUUGUGAUUGGUAUUGUUGGUGUGAUAGACGAAAAGUCCAUUGAGUAGCAGGCGGUUGGUGGAAACACUGAUGCGCGCCCUUCAUUCCUACACAGUUUGGAGGACCUCUUUGGAAGAGAUUGACUUUGAAUAAAUUAGAGUGUUUAAAACAGGCUUUCUAGCCUUUGAAUAUAUUAGCAUAGUAUCACAGAAUAUGAUCGACUCACCCAGAAGCCUCGUAGAUUUUCUUCGAGGUGGGUCGUAUAAUGAGAGAUAGGAGCUGAUGGAGCGAUCUUUAUUUGUUGGGGAGGGGUGAAAUCCUAUGAUCCAACGAAGAAACACUAAUGCGAAAGCACCUCGCUAAGAUGUUUUUAUUAGUCAAGUACGAAAGUUAAGGGCGCGAAGAUGAUUAGAUA